AAUGGGCGCAAGCCUGACCCAGCAACGCCGCGUGAAGGAAGAAGGCUUUCGGGUUGUAAACUUCUUUUGUCAGGGACGAAAAAAAUGACGGUACCUGACGAAUAAGCCACGGCUAACUACGUGCCAGCAGCCGCGGUAAUACGUAGGUGGCAAGCGUUAUCCGGAUUUACUGGGUGUAAAGGGCGUGUAGGCGGGAAAGCAAGUCAGAUGUGAAAACUAUGGGCUCAACCCAUAGCCUGCAUUUGAAACUGUUUUUCUUGAGUGUCGGAGAGGUAAUCGGAAUUCCGUGUGUAGCGGUGAAAUGCGUAGAUAUACGGAGGAACACCAGUGGCGAAGGCGGAUUACUGGACGAUAACUGACGCUGAGGCGCGAAAGCGUGGGGAGCAAA
rnacentral:rRNA from 1 species